GAGUGAAACUGUGGGCAAACAGU
rnacentral:piRNA from 1 species